AAACCACAGAUCCCAAAGAAAGGAGGGGGAAGUGGAAUAAAAUACCCAAGUGCCGGAGGAAAAUGUCAGACUAGUCAAUGAAAGCUACUAUUACUAAACUGUAGACUCCUCUGAUUUUUAUAUAGUAGGGAAAA